UACGUAGGGUGCAAGCGUUGCCCGGAAUUAUUGGGCGUAAAGAGUUCGUAGGCGGUUUGUCGCGUCCGUUGUGAAAGCUUGGGGCUCAACCCCAAGUCUGCAGGCGAUACGGGCAGGCUAGAGUUCGGUAGGGGAGACUGGAAUUCCUGGUGUAGCGGUGAAAUGCGCAGAUAUCAGGAGGAACACCGGUGGCGAAGGCGGGUCUCUGGGCCGAUACUGACGCUGAGGCGCGAAAGCUAGGGGAACAAACGGG
rnacentral:rRNA from 1 species